UUAUAAAAUUUUAAACUAUUACUAUUUUAUGUUAAUAAUCUUUGUGUUGGUAGGCUUCAUUGAUGAUUUCCUCCCCACUUUACCCACACCCUCCUUCCUGCCCAGCCUAUAAUUGUAUAGCAUCUCUUCAAUGAAAGCUUCAUUGCAGACCAGGUUUGGACUUGCACAGUAGAUGACAUCAAAUUCCUUUGGCAGAAGAAGAUAAGGGGGAAAAUGGACUUCAUUUGACCUAUGGAAUUCUACCAUACUGAACAUAUGUCCCAAGGAAGAAAGAGGAAAAAAAUCAUUGAACAUCAGGUAUUUGCUUGGAAGCUUACUGCUGGAGCAGACGCAGCUUUUCCCGUGUAGCCUGCCAUGCUGGAGUUUGGAAGGUUUGGAAUGUAGGUGGAGGGAAUGGAGAACAACCACUAUGAAAGAAAUUCCCCUUUGUGAAAUUGCAUCUUAAACUCUUUUUGCCCCUUCUUUAUAAUCUUACAGCUGACCACAAAAAAAAAAAACAAGAGAU
rnacentral:lncRNA from 1 species